rnacentral:lncRNA from 1 species
UCGAGUUGGGAGACUGUUGGAGCUGCGAUGGAAUUAAGGUAACCCUGGCAACCAUUGUCAUUAAAAUCAGGUUCCUCUUGUUGCAUUCCUUGCAGCCCUCGCGUGCUGGAGCAGCACAAGGGUUCUUCCCAGAAUAUUCCAGUCUGGAGCGUGGAGGCAGAGGGUUUGAGAUCUGAGGCUGGUGGAUGUUUCAUCUGCACUGUUUGAAGACUUCUUGCAACCACGAGAUAGAGAUGGACCUGUAAUCCACUGGAUAAUCCUCCCAGUGCUUUAUUUCAACCCAGCUCAUGAGGGUCCUGGUAGCCAACAGGUUGACCCAAGGUUGACCGUGGGCCAGCAGUGUGCCCUGGUGGCCAGGAAGGCCAAUGGGACCCUGGGGUUCACUGUGCAGAGCAUGGCCAGCAGGGCCCAGUGCUGGGCUCCCCAGUUCCAGGCAGAUUGGGAACUGCUGGGAGAGCCCAGUGGAGAGUGCAGAGAUGGUAGGGGCCUGGAGCACCUCCUGAUGGGGACAGGCUGAGAGCCCCAGG